UUGUAUCUGCAGCUGGCAACAGACCUUGGAUUGGGGGAGGGAGGGAUAUAUUCCCAUGAAUUUCUUACUCAGAGAAUCUAACAGCUUCCAGAUGGACAGAGGGACCCUUUUAUGAAGGUACCAUAAUGCAUCCCAUCUGCAAGGAAUGAUUGUUACCAAAGGAACCUCGAGAUGCUUAUCCCACUCCUCGCAUACCACUAAUGCUAACACAGUGAUUUUUAUUUACAUACCAUGCAUUACCAGUUCAUGCUGAUAUCGUCUAUAGAAACAGAUUUAAAGAAGAGAGUAGUCAUCUUUGUAGCUCCUGGGUGGAAUUUCAAGGAUAGUAGGGCAGAAUGCGUUAGUCAUCACAUGUCAAAUCUUCAGGAAGAAAAGGCAAGGACUGGAGCUAAAUAAGAAGAGAGCAAGUGCAAAUGAUAGACAGAGCAAGCCCCUUCUAAAAGGCCAUUUGCAGAGACACACUCUGAGGAGCCCAUGGCUAUGGAAACGGUGGCAGGCAGCUUCAGUAAAUGAUGCCAACAACACCUCUGCUUCUCCUUCCAAAUGCUUCUCCCUGCCAAGAAGUGUCGCCUCUGUCUUAUCUGCGAUGAGUCAAUUUCUUUGUUUUCAUACAGAAUUCUGCCUCAUUCAAUUUGUGGGAAAUCAACUGAAGCUAUCCAGCCUGGGCUCAAGAAAGAGCAAGGAUGCUGCCUUUCAGGGCAUCUCUCAGUCUUCUUGAGAUGCCUCCUGGAAAUAUCACAGAGUUAGCAACCCUUGCCUUAAAAACAGUCAGGAGUUUGCAACUGAGUGGGUGCUCUGUUUAUUCUAAAUUCGGGGAGUUAUACACCUGCUAUACAUUACUUCCAGUUUCUGAAUUGAUUCCAUUUGAAAUAAUCCACAUGUGUCAGAUUUCUACUAGAGAGCAACUGACACAAUUUCUCACAUGUUAGCAAGUUUGAUAUCUUGUCUAGAGAAACAACAACAAUAUAGCCUUGCAAGUUGGAUCCGAUAUUCAGUUAUUUUCAAGGCAGUUUGUAUAUAAACUUGUAUAUAUGGCAUGAGAAAUCUUAGUGUGAAAAUUUGUGUAAAGCUUAAAAAUCAGAGAAUAGUGUUAACGCUCUCCCACGGAGAUAGAGAACCUUGAAAAAAGGUGAAAACAAAUGGGGUUUUCUACUAUUUCUACUAUAUAUUGUCAUAUGAUUACAUACAUUAAAUGGAAUACAUAGAAUUAUUGUUAUAUAUAUUCCAUUUAAUGCAGAUUUCUCUGGGCUCAUUCAUAUAAGUAGUACCAUACUGCAUCUCUCGUAUUUUUUUUUUUUAAAAAAAACCUAUCUGCAUAAAAAAGGUGAAACACAUCCAUCUUCUAUGUGAAUGAUUGGACGACUUUUGCCUCCCAGGAAAAGAUGGUAUAUAAGCAUCUGAAGACAGAUAUAUCCAUCACUCUUAUAUCCUCUAGUACUAUUUAAUCUAUGUGUAUGAAAGGAGGGUGAGUGAAAAUACUAUCUAUAUAUGAGUAAACGUAAGCUUUAGGAGUCAAAAAAGGAAGACAUAUCCAGCAGGUGUACUAGAUUUUAAGGAUGGAGGUGUGAUGUACACCAAUGGUUAAUCCUACUCUUUAGUAGUUCUAGUAAUCAUUGUAGCUAUGUUCUAUUUGUAAAUCCAGUGAUGUCAGUUCCCAAAUAAGGGAUGUUUCUAGGGUUUUAGUAACAAAUUACCAUUCAAAUAAAAUGUAUUUAAAACAGUA